rnacentral:rRNA from 1 species
UACGGAGGAUGCAAGCGUUGUUCGGAAUCACUGGGCUUAAAGAGCGUGUAGGUGGGGUGUCAGGCGUCGGGUGAAAUCCCUCGGCUCAACCGAGGAACUGCCUGGCGAACCGACAUUCUUGAGGCAGGUAGAGGUGGCUGGAACGACGGGUGGAGCGGUGAAAUGCGUAGAUAUCCGUUGGAACGCCGGCGGCGAAAGCGAGCCACUGGGCCUGUCCUGACACUGAGACGCGAAAGCGUGGGGAGCAAAC